GACGAACGCUGGCGGCGUGCUUAACACAUGCAAGUCGAACGGAAAGGCCCUGCUUUUGUGGGGUGCUCGAGUGGCGAACGGGUGAGUAACACGUGAGUAACCUGCCCUUGACUUUGGGAUAACUUCAGGAAACUGGGGCUAAUACCGGAUAGGAGCUCCUGCUGCAUGGUGGGGGUUGGAAAGUUUCGGCGGUUGGGGAUGGACUCGCGGCUUAUCAGCUUGUUGGUGGGGUAGUGGCUUACCAAGGCUUUGACGGGUAGCCGGCCUGAGAGGGUGACCGGACAGAGUGACACAGAGACAACGCAGAAGCGACGUGGGGGUGGAGGGGGGCGGAAUGUGGGACAGGGGGCGGACGUCCGAGGAGCAGAGGCCGGGUGCGGGAGGACGGCCGUCGGGGGGAAGCGCUGUGUGGGGGGGGAGGAUGGGUGCGGGGUGGUAGUGAGAAAAGAGCCACAGGCUAACGACGAGCCGGCGGCCGGGGUAAUAGAAGGAAAAGCACACGUCUGAAC
rnacentral:rRNA from 1 species